AAGGAGGGGAAGCAGUAGGGGAAUCUUCCACAAUGGACGCAAGUCUGAUGGAGCAACGCCGCGUGAGUGAAGAAGGGUUUCGGCUCGUAAAGCUCUGUUGUUAAAGAAGAACGUGGGUAAGAGUAACUGUUUACCCAGUGACGGUAUUUAACCAGAAAGCCACGGCUAACUACGUGCCAGCAGCCGCGGUAAUACGUAGGUGGCAAGCGUUAUCCGGAUUUAUUGGGCGUAAAGCGAGCGCAGGCGGUCUUUUAAGUCUAAUGUGAAAGCCUUCGGCUCAACCGAAGAAGUGCAUUGGAAACUGGGAGACUUGAGUGCAGAAGAGGACAGUGGAACUCCAUGUGUAGCGGUGAAAUGCGUAGAUAUAUGGAAGAACACCAGUGGCGAAGGCGGCUGUCUGGUCUGCAAAGACGCUGAGGCUCGAAAGCAUGGGUAGCGAACAGGAUUAGAUACCCUGGUAGUCCAUGCCGUAAACGAUGAUUACUAAGUGUUGGAGGGUUUCCGCCCUUCAGUGCUGCAGCUAACGCAUUAAGUAAUCCGCCUGGGGAGUACGACCGCAAGGUUGAAACUCAAAAGAAUUGACGGGGGCCCGCACAAGCGGUGGAGCAUGUGGUUUAAUUCGAAGCUACGCGAAGAACCUUACCAGGUCUUGACAUCUUCUGACAGUCUAAGAGAUUAGAGGUUCCCUUCGGGGACAGAAUGACAGGUGGUGCAUGGUUGUCGUCAGCUCGUGUCGUGAGAUGUUGGGUUAAGUCCCGCAACGAGCGCAACCCUUAUUACUAGUUGCCAGCAUUAAGUUGGGCACUCUAGUGAGACUGCCGGUGACAAACCGGAGGAAGGUGGGGACGACGUCAAAUCAUCAUGCCCCUUAUGACCUGGGCUACACACGUGCUACAAUGGAUGGGUACAACGAGUCGCGAGACCGCGAGGUUAAGCUAAUCUCUUAAAACCAUUCUCAGUUCGGACUGUAGGCUGCAACUCGCCUACACGAAGUC
rnacentral:rRNA from 1 species